rnacentral:misc_RNA from 1 species
UUUCUGUUUGAAAACAAGCAUGCCGUGAGGUAAGACAACUUGUCUCAUCUGUCAGAGCAGUAAUUUCUUUUGAAUGAAGGAAAACUUUUACUAAAUAAUUUGUGGAUUCAAAGAUGGGAGUUCAUGGAUUGUGGAAUCUACUAGAACCGGUUGGCAAACCUGUUCCGCUAGAAACCCUUGAGAAUAAAGUUCUCGCUGUUGAUGUGUCUAUUUGGCUUCAUCAAGCAACUAAAGGUUUCCGGGAUGCCCAAGGAAAUCCAUUACCAAAUGCCCACUUAUUGGGUUUAUGCCACCGUCUUUGCAAGCUAUUGUUUUUUAAAAUCAAACCAGUAUUUGUUUUUGAUGGUGGGGUUCCAGUACUGAAACGACAAACCAUGGCUGCACGUCAUAACAGGAGAGAUACAGCUGUUAAGAACAAUGAUUUAGUUGCAGAGAAAAUCCUUUCAAACUAUAUUAAGUCAGAAGUUAUCAAUAAACAACUUGGCAAAAAUAAAGGGAAAUCUGGAGCCCCUUUGUUAAAAAAGAAAAAAUUGGAACCUGAUCUAUUUGAGCUUCCGCCAAUUCCAAAUCAAAACACUGAGGAAGUUUCUUCAGAAUCAGAUUUUGACGACGAUGCAAAUGGAAAUCUGGGCGCAAUUUCUUUACAUAUGAAAGGUCACAACAUACAUUCAGUAGAUGUUACAAGUGAAGCUUUCCUUGCUUUGCCAACUGAAAUACAACAUGAAAUUCUAUUGGAACUACGAGACACCCGUAAGCAAUCUUCCUGGAACAGGAUUCACCAAAUGCCUCAGGAGGCUGAUGAUUUUUCUGGAUUUCAAAUGGAAAGGCUGUUGAAGCGAAGAAAUUUGCAACAGCGUCUGAAUGAGGUGGUAAAAGAAAUCGGUCAAAAGAAUCAUGAGCAGUUUGCAUUAAAUCAAGGAGACGUAGCUGAGUCACACAAAAUUGCUUCUGACAAUUCUACUCACUACGUAUUGAUUAAAAAAGCUUUACAACACUCUACGUCACCGACAAAAAUUGGACCAAAAAAAGCCACCGACCCGAACGUAAUAGAGCAGCCCAUAAAAGUCGCAUCAGUUAGUAAGAACCUAGCCACCGAACAAAUUUUGGGAGUGGAUGAAGAUGGAUUUAGUCAACAAGAGUUAUUCGCAAUAUUUGGAAGUGAACAAAAAAAAGAACCAGUAAUGUGUAUUAGUUCAUCUGACGAAGAUUCGGAUUUCGAAGAAGUUCCAUCAGCUCUACCAUACCCUGGGAAUAGAGUCAUCCUUGAUAUUCCGAUCAAUCCUGCAAUAGCUGAAGAAGACGACAUGUUUGCUGAUAUAUUUACCUCUGCCGUUCCCUCGAAAACUGAAAAACCAACACAUCAAUCGGAUGAUCUCAGCUCAGUUGAAACGGAUUCGUCAAUGGAAGAACCUGAUGUUUUCGUUGUGCCUGUGGAUAACACUACGUCAUGCAAAGCAACAGAGUCCAUAAUAGCCACUAGUAAAGAAACAAUAUUGAGAUCAACCACUACAACUCUUGAAAAAGAAAAUAUUCUGAUAUUAUCGGAAAUAACACAAGUAACUCAUGGAGCGGAUUUACAACUUAGCGAUGAAAACUCUUUACCUGUCUGUCAAACUAUUGGCGAGCAGCCGCACAAUUUGUCGGAAGUAAUUGAAGUUAUGGUGCAAAAACCUUUAUUAGAAAAUUCAGCGUUCAUCAAGGAACAUGUGUCGUCUCUUCCUAUCCCUAUAGCAAGAAUUUCCACUGAACCACCACCAAUUGUCCAAUGUGACAACUUAUCCCAGGAUGCCUUAGUUAAUACCAUUGAAGAAACUUCGAAAAUGAUAGAUACUCACCAUACUCACAAAAGAAACGAUGUUGAAGGUAGCUUUGAAGUUCGUAAUGUUGAAAUAACAGGAGAAAAUUCUAGAUCUCAAGUGGCUUUUGAAAUUUCGCCUAAAACUGCGAAGUUAAGUGAGCCACCACCACCACCAGUAGUGCACACAAUAACAACCAAGAGAAAAGAAGAACUUGAAGAGAUGGGAAGAGUUAUCAACGAAGAGCAGUCGAUUUUAAUUCAGGAACAUGGACGGCAAGAACGCCUAGCUUCAUCUAUUACAGACCAGAUGUAUUCCGAAUCCCAGGAGUUGCUGAGGCUAUUUGGAAUUCCUUAUCUUGUUGCUCCAAUGGAGGCUGAGGCGCAGUGCGCUUUCUUGGACGAAGCUGGUCUAACUCAAGGCACCAUAACGGACGAUAGCGAUAUCUGGCUGUUUGGAGGACGCCGAGUCUACAAAAAUUUCUUUAAUCAAGGGAAAUUUGUAGAAUUCUUCGAAGCCGAUGACAUAUACAAUGUUUUCAAACUAGGACGCGAAAAACUUGUUCAUUUGGCUCUUUUAACCGGAAGCGAUUAUACUGAAGGAAUUCAAGGUGUCGGACCGGUUUGUGCCCUAGAAAUUUUAGCUGAAUUUCCAAAUCCUGGUUUGGAAGCAUUGGAAGAGUUUAGUAAUUGGCUUCACAAAGUCCAGGCCAAGAAAAAUGCACCUCCAGAGAAUAAGAUUCGACAGAAAAUACGAAAUCUACAAGUUAAACCCGAAAAUUGGGUUAAAAGUCAGAGCAAGGCUUGACAAUGUAACCAAUUUGCGAUCUGAUGGAGAAGAUUUCCGUUGGUAUCUUAAGGUGAAAUGUGGAAGUUGCAAUGAAGUGUCAGAUAAAUGGAUUUACAUCACUCAGUCUGAGUCAAAUGAUGUGAAGGGAGGGAGAGGGACAGCAAACUUAGUGUUCAAGUGUAAGCUUUGUUCCCGAGAAAAUAAUAUGG